rnacentral:rRNA from 1 species
UACGUAGGGUGCGAGCGUUGUCCGGAAUUAUUGGGCGUAAAGAGCUCGUAGGCGGUUUGUCGCGUCUGCCGUGAAAGUCCGGGGCUCAACUCCGGAUCUGCGGUGGGUACGGGCAGACUAGAGUGAUGUAGGGGAGACUGGAAUUCCUGGUGUAGCGGUGAAAUGCGCAGAUAUCAGGAGGAACACCGGUGGCGAAGGCGGGUCUCUGGGCCGAUACUGACGCUGAGGAGCGAAAGCGUGGGGAGCGAACAGG